AUGACUGCCUUUGAGGUUCCUCUGGAGAGUUUUUCAGGCAGCCUAGGAGGGUCAUUCAUCGUCCAGCAGGGCUGGGGAGGCAGGAGGUUGGCCCAGGCGCACCAACAACUAGCUGAUUUAAAGAGUAUAAUCUGACUGUAUCCUGCUCAUUUCCUUCCUCACCUAUGAAACCAUUCUAUCUUCUGGACUUCAAACAACUAUUGGUAGUUUCCAGUGAGGCAAUGAACCUGAGAGUUCUUUGUGAGUGACUCCAUCGAUGUUACGUAUGGC
rnacentral:lncRNA from 1 species